AUGUUACUAAUAUACAUUACAAAGAUUCUUCUUUUUUUUUUUUCCUCACAUUCAUUCGGAGUACUCUUCAUGAGGAUGGACAGGAGAAGAUCCUGCCUGUGGAUACGGAGGGAAACACUGGAGGGAGAAGUCUAUGCAGUGGAGCUGAGGAAGAUCAGUCACCCACUUCUUGGCCUCCCUUCAGCAUCUAUUCAGGCAGCUCCAUUACCUUCCAUGGAUAGUCUCUUUUUUGGCCCUGGAAAAAGCAGGAAAAAAAAUGGUAUGUCUCCCGCGAUCGUCCCUUCCACCAGGGCAACCGGAUCAAUAACGCUGGCGCCCGCUCUCCGUCGAUGCCACCUGCGGCCGCGGAGCCGGCCCUGUCACAGCAUCCCUGUGGCAGAGGAAGACCACAGCUGCAUCCCCAGAGGGCUGCGAAAGCCAUCGCCUAAGAACUCUCUGUUGUCUCCCUUGCGUCCUGCAGGCGGUUCCGUAAGUGGUGGCAACCAGUGGCGGGGCUGCCUCCCUAAAUCUCACCUGCCUGACCUCAGCUUGACAACGUCUUAACAGGCGCAGAGAACCAUCAAGGCUCCGUGCGGAGCCGGGCGCUCCAUCAGCCUCUCGGCAGAUGUCGGGGCCCGGGGCCGGAUGCGGAGUGGGGAGCGGGAGACAGGUUUGCGCGCACAUCACGGCCCCGCGCGGUGGAGUCAGCCUGUCUCGUGCUCACAGGCAGAACUCUUCCUCCUCGGUCGCAUGUCACACUGUCAUGCUGCCUCUUCCCUGUGUGUAAAGUGGUAAGGUGUGAGUUUAAUUAGCAUAGAACAAAAUUUCUUAGUCUCUAAUAAUAACACCUUGAAUUUUUAUGUUACCUGCUCUCCAAGGAGCUCAGAGCAUUACACACACACACACACACACACACACACACACACUUUUGUCUCAUUGGACUCCAAAGGCAGAGGUCAUUGGCCCAUUCUGCAGACAGGGAAACCGAGGCGGAGGGUGCUUUGUGGCUCACUAAAGUACAGAGGGAGCUCCGCUGUGGCCUUCUGGCUUCAUGGGUAGCCUUCAGUUCUGUGCAGAAUGUGUGAGUUUAAAUUCCUGGAAAGAAGGGUGAUGGGAUUGGUGCAGGGGCUUCAACAGGAGCGCCUUCAGACAAAUGGUAGGGGACAUGCAUGAAUGGGUGUACACAGCAGGGAGUGACAGGGCCUGGGUGAACCCGAGUGGGCCCCCCUGGAAGGAGAUGCCUUCUCUGGCUCUUGAGAUGUGUUAGCAUGCAAGACAGCAAGCCCAGCGUUGUCAGGUCUUCCAAUGUAUACAUAUGCAAAUGUUGACCUGGAAAAAAAAAAAGGAAAGAAAAAACCCAUUCUUCGAUACCUAAUAUGUAUCUCGUGGGGCACAACCCCAUAGGCUCCCCUCGGUGACAUUCGGCUAAGGCAGUGUUUGCGUGAGACCGGGUGCUGGCUUGCACUGGGUGCAUUAGGUUUGGUCAAGAAAAGCACUGGCCUAGGGCAACCGCUGGAGGCUUUCCUGAAUCUUGAUCCCUGAAUCAUGGGACCGCAGUGCCUUGGAGAGAAAGAGAUGAAACCCAAAGAGGCAGAGGAAAAAGAAUGUGGUCCCUUGGCUGACAGGAGAACCCCAGAACAUUCUAGCUGGAGAUUCCAGGGUCAGGAGGGUCGUGGUGCCUUUGCCAAGGACAGAAUUGCUGAGAGAACCCCUCAUGGGACAUUCCACCUGGGAGAGGGGACAGUGAAUAUUUCCACAGCAGGUGCUCCAGGUGGAAGGAGGACAGGCAGGGAGGGACGCCCUGUGGCUGUGUGUUUGGGGGCUUCUGUGCUUCCCGGGAGAGUAGAAAUUGUGACACUAAUUUCGUUUCCACUUUGAGGUCAUCCACUUUUUUUAAAUUUUUUUUUGGGGGGUCUUUUUAGGGCCGUAUCCGAGGCAUAUGGAGGUUCCCUGGCUAGGGGUCACAUCAGAGCUGUAGCCACCAGCCUACACCUCCGUCACAGCAAUGCCAGAUCCGAGCCAUGUCUGUGACCUACACCACAGCUCACAGCAACGCCGGAUCCUUAACCCACUGAACGAGGCCAGGGAUCCAACCUAGUCAGACUCGUGUCCACUGAGCCACAGCAGGAACUCCAGAGGUCAUCCACUUUUUAUUUGGCCAAGUGAGAACAAGAAAGGAAAUAAAUAGCAACCAUCUCUGUUCUGUUGAAGAAAGACAAUUCUUGAUAGGCCUUUAUUUUUAAAUUUUUUUUAUUUUUUUGUCUUUUUGCUAUUUAUUGGGCCGCUCCCGCGGCAUAUGGAGGUUCCCAGGCUAGGGGUCAAUCGGAGCUGUAGCUGCCAGCCUACGCCAGAGCCACAGCAACACUGGAUCCAAGCCGAGUCUGCAACCUACACCACAGCUGACGGCAACGCUGGAUCGUUAACCCACUGAGCAAGGGCAGGGACCGAACCCACAACCUCAUGGUUCCUAGUCGGAUUCGUUAACCACUGCGCCAUGACAGGAACUCCAUAUAGGCCUUUAUUUUAUUUCAUUAUUUUAUUUUAUUUUUAUUUUUACGGCCACACCCACAGCAUGUGGAGGUUCCCAGGCUAGGGAUCGAAUCAGGGCUGCAGCUGCCACACCACAGCCACAGCCGAGCUGCACUUCACCCUAUGCCAGAGCUCAAGGCAAUGCUGGAUCCUUAAGCCACCGAGCAAGGCCAGGGAUCUAACCCACACCCUCACAGAGACUACGUCAGUUCUUAACCCACUGAACCACAAUGGGAACUCCUAUUUAUUUAAAUUUUUUUUUUUUUUUUUUUUUUUUUUUUUGGCCAACCCCUCAGCAUGCUGAGGUUCCCAGGCCAGGAAUCAACCCACAUCACAGUAGCAACCAGAGUCACAGCAGUGACAAAGCCAGAUCCCCAACCCAUUGUGCCACAGAUGUCUGAUAGUCCUUUAAAGUGAAUAAAUUUGACUUAACAGAAAAGUUACUUCUUAGCAGGUGUUUAUUCAUUAUUUAUGUAUUUCCCUAUGAAUGGACGUUAGGCCAUGGAUCGCUGGUGGAGAACCACUGCUCUGACACUUCAGGAGUAGCUGAGAGGAGAAGACAGGGGCUGGCAUUAGAAGCAGUUGCAAGAGGGAGAUGGCAAAUUUGUGAGCCUGGAGGAAUGCCCAGCGCUGCUAAGACAGAGGGGCACAGAAGGCGGGGGCUGUAUUCUGGAACCCCAAGGAUGUUCUCUGUCAAGCUUAAGGAAGAAAGAAAGCAGGAGACAAAGUGGGGGGCCGUGGGGGGUGGACAUGGGCGCUCAGGGAAGGAUCACUAGGGCAUCUAAAAACAAUCCAUGGGUUAUGCACACAAACACAAAAAGGCACAACAUUGUAAAUCAGCUAUAGUAUAAUAAAAAAUGUGCAAAUUAAAAAAAAAAAAUCCAUGGACUCAGUCGGCAUCAUGGACUGUCUAGAGCCCCAUUUUUUUUUUUUUUUUCAUUUUAGGCCCAGAGACACAGCCUCCUGCAUCCCUAUGGAGAAGAAAGACUGGAGCUGGAAACUCAGGGAUGCUUGCCUUCCUCUGGACACAGGCAGGCGAGCUAAGCUGUGUGGCUGCAGGGGCUGCCCUGGCCCCCAGCUGCUGGAGGAGUCCAGCAGCAUCUGUAAACCCAGACGGAGGCUCUCAGUGUCCCUGGCUCUCUCUGCAUCGGGCCCUCGUGCUGAUGGUGAUGAAGCUUCGCCAGACGCUCGGGCAAGAAUCUUUCCCUGGGAUGAGGAUUAACCGUGGCUAUUAGUGCUUGUGCAGGGGGAGCCUCCCCUCCCCUCAGCAGAAGUGCAUGCUUCCUGGGGAUUAGGAGUUAAUGUUUCUGGAACAACAGUGUCGGCUUCUCCAGGUUUGGGGGUCUGUUGCAGGGCUCCCAUGAGCCCCCUGGCUGCGGUUCCACUUGGAUCAGGGUUUGCCAUUAAAUGCAAUGAGGAGCCUGGGCCAUUUAUCACAGUGAAUCCAGUGCCUAAAUCUGGGAGGAAAUGGUCACUGCUCCAAAUCGGAUCUGAGUCUCUCUGCCAGGAACCGAGUCGGGCUCGCUCGGCUGGAUUCUUGGGCUGAGUUGUUAUCCGUUUGUAAAAAUAAAUGCUAUUCAUUUAACUUCUCACUUGGAUCUUAUCCAUGAGGCAAUGAAUUUCACUGGUUUGCGUACUCAUGCACUCACUCACUCAGUGUUUC
rnacentral:lncRNA from 9 species